rnacentral:rRNA from 1 species
UACGUAGGGGGCAAGCGUUGUCCGGAUUUAUUGGGCGUAAAGAGCGUGUAGGCGGCCGUACAGGUCAGCUGUGAAAACUCGAGGCUCAACCUCGAGACGUCGGUUGAAACCGUACGGCUAGAGUCCGGAAGAGGAGAGUGGAAUUCCCGGUGUAGCGGUGAAAUGCGCAGAUAUCGGGAAGAACACCCGUGGCGAAGGCGGCUCUCUGGGACGGUACUGACGCUGAGGAGCGAAAGCAUGGGGAGCGAACAGG